AGAGUUUGAUCCUGGCUCAGAGUGAACGCUGGCGGCGUGGAUUAGGCAUGCAAGUCGAGCGAUCCUUGCUGGAAAUACUGUUGAAUUCCGCUUCGGUGGAAGGAUGCGGUAUGGAAAGCGCUGGAUAGCGGCAAACGGGUGAGUAACGCGUAAGUAAUCUUCCUUAAAGUCGAACAUAGCUUCGUGAAAAUGGAGGUAAUAUUCGAUGUUUCCAGCGAGUCUCAUGUCUUGCUGGACAAAGGUGGGGACCGAAAGGCCUGCCGCUUUAAGAUGAGCUUGCGUCCUAUCAGCUUGUUGGUAGAGUAAUGGCCUACCAAGGCUUAUGACGGGUAGCUGGUCUGAGAGGAUGACCAGCCACACUGGGACUGAGACACUGCCCAGACUCCUACGGGAGGCUGCAGUCGAGAAUCUUUAGCAAUGGGCAGAAGCCUGACUAUGCGACGCCGCGUGAAGGAUGAAUGUCUUCGGAUUGUAAACUUCUUUUUUCAGGAGAGAAAACUCCGUCAAUAAUACUGGCGGGGCUGACGGUACCUGACGAAUAAGCCACGGCCAACUCCGUGCCAGCAGCCGCGGUAAUACGGAGGUGGCGAGCGUUACUCGGAAUUAUUGGGUGUAAAGGGUAAGUAGGCGGUCUAAUAAGUGAGGGGUGAAAUCUUCCGACUUAAUCGGAAAACUGCCUUUCAAACUGAUAGACUUGAGAUUGGAAGAGGGAAACGGAAUUAGCAGUGUAAGGGUGAAAUCUGUAGAUAUUGCUAAGAACACCAACGGCGUAGGCAGUUUCCUGGUCCAGAUCUGACGCUGAAUUACGAAAGCUAGGGUAGCGAACAGAAUUAGAUACUCUGGUAGUCCUAGCUGUAAACGAUGAGCACUAGGUGUUGGUCCUUGUGAUCAGUGCCGCAGCUAACGCAUUAAGUGCUCCACCUGGGGACUACGGCCGCAAGGCUAAAACUCAAAGGAAUUGACGGGGACCCGCACAAGCGGUGGAACAUGUGGUUUAAUUCGAUGCUCGCGAAAAACCUCACCAGGGUUUGACAUGUAGGCAGUAGUGAACUGAAAGGGAAUCGACCCGUAAAAUCGGGAACCUACACAGGUGCUGCAUGGCUGUCGUCAGCUCGUGUCGUGAGAUGUUGGGUUAAGUCCCGCAACGAGCGCAACCAUUGCCCCAUGUUGCUAGUAUACUUUUACCUUCGGGUUUAAGUGUACGCACUCUUGGGGGACUGCCUGGGAUAACCAGGAGGAAGGUGGAGAUGACGUCAAGUCAGUACGGCCUUUAUACCCUGGGCUACACACGUGUUACAAUGGGUGGUACAAAGGGUUGCCAACCCGAAAGGGGGAGCUAAUCUCAAAAAACCAUCCUCAGUUCGGAUUGGAGUCUGCAAUUCGACUUCAUGAAGCCGGAAUCGCUAGUAAUGUAAGAUCAGCACGCUUCCGUGAAUACGUUCCCGGGUCUUGUACACACCGCCCGUCAAGCGAUGAAAGCUGGAAGUACCCGAAGUCCUAUGUAGGUAGGCCGAAGGUAAGUCUAGUGAUUGGCGCUAAGUCGUAACAAGGUA
rnacentral:rRNA from 1 species